UGGGGAAUAUUGGACAAUGGGCGCAAGCCUGAUCCAGCCAUGCCGCGUGAGUGAUGAAGGCCUUAGGGUUGUAAAGCUCUUUCGCCGGUGAAGAUAAUGACGGUAACCGGAGAAGAAGCCCCGGCUAACUUCGUGCCAGCAGCCGCGGUAAUACGAAGGGGGCUAGCGUUGCUCGGAAUCACUGGGCGUAAAGCGCACGUAGGCGGAUCGUUAAGUCAGGGGGUGAAAUCCUGGAGCUCAACUCCAGGAACUGCCCUUGAUACUGGCGAUCUCGAGUUCGAGAGAGGUUGGUGGAACUCCGAGUGUAGAGGUGAAAUUCGUAGAUAUUCGGAAGAACACCAGUGGCGAAGGCGGCCAACUGGCUCGAUACUGACGCUGAGGUGCGAAAGCGUGGGGAGCAAAACAGGAUUAGAUACCCUGGUAGUCCACGCCGUAAAACGAUGGAUGCUAGCCGUUGGGGGGUUUACCUCUCAGUGGCGCAGCUAACGCCUUAAGCAUCCCGCCUGGGGAGUACGGUCGCAAGAUUAAAAACUC
rnacentral:rRNA from 1 species